rnacentral:lncRNA from 1 species
CCGGCAACGGCGCGCUUGCCCCGCAACUGCGAGCCCCGACCCCACGUGGGCGGCCGAGAGGCCGUCAUCUGUGAAACCCUAGGACAGGACGAGAAAACGCGCUUUUCCUGGAAAUCCCGCUCCUCUGCCCGUCCCGCGCCCCGGACCCCACCUCUGCGCGCUGCUGGCGGAGGAGCCGUUUCCCGGGGGAGAUAACGCCCGAACGCAAACGGCCAGCUCGCACACCGUUUCCUCCGCGCUGGAGUGCGGACCUGCAAUGGCACGUCUAACUCAGGUUCUGUCAAAGCAAUUAUUUCAAAGCCAUUGACAUAGAGUAGAAAAGGCAUCUAAAAGCCGUAUUCAAAAUUGCUGUCUACUGCACUUUGGGAAGCCAAGUCUGGUGAAUCACCUGAGGUGAAGAGUUCGAGACCAUCCUGGCCAACAUCGUGAAACCCCUUCUCUACUAAAAAUACAAAAAUUAGGUGGGCGUGGUGAUGGACGCCUAUAGUCUCAGGUACUCCGGAGGCUGCGGCAGAAUUGCUUGAACUCGGGAAGGUAACUACCU